rnacentral:misc_RNA from 1 species
GAUGAAGAACGUAGCGAAAUGCGAUACUUGGUGUGAAUUGCAGAAUCCCGUGAACCAUCGAGUCUUUGAACGCAAGUUGCGCCCGAAGCCAUUAGGCCGAGGGAACGCCUGCCUGGGCGUCACACGUCGUUGCCCCCCCAUCUACUCCUUCGGGAUUGCGGGGGGCGGAUGAUGGCCUCCCGUGCGCCUCGUCGCGCGGUUGGCAUAAAUGCCAAGUCCUCGGCGACACACGCCACGACAAUCGGUGGUUGCGAAACCUCGGUUGCCCGUCGUGUGCGGUCGUCGCGCAUCGAGGGCUCGAAAAAAUUGCCGGGCUCCGGCUCGGCUUUCAACGCGACCCCAGGUCAGGCGGGGUUACCCGCUGAAUUUAAGCAUAUCAAUAAGCGGAGGA